rnacentral:lncRNA from 1 species
GACCAGCCUUUCUCUUCCAUUGCAGGUUAUUCUUCCCUGAAGGCUAUGAGACCUCAUCCUGGGCGACCUUUUUUCCACACCCAGCCUAGAAGCAAUCCGGGGUUGAUCCCACGGCCUCCAGCCGCCCAACCAGUGCAUGGCCGGACAGACUGGGCUUCCAAGUACCCAUCUCGGCGAUGACUGUCUCAGCAACCAGGCCCUUGGUCAGGGAGAGCAGGACACUUUCCCUAGACUGACUGUGUUCCACCCACAAGAGACAUGUUGAUGAUACAAAGGCAAACCAACACUUUAUUCUUCUGAACUAAGACAUUUCAAUAUUCUUUUUUAAAGUUUUUUUUAACAUUGAUUUGAAUGCAGUACCUUUUUUGUAUAAAAUUAUUUUAUUCUAAAACUGGGUCCCAUUAUUUUCUUAAACAACAGCAUUUUGUACAUAUGGGUUAUGUUUUAGCAUUUUAUACAGUUCAACUUUGUAAUGACCUUUUUAAAGAUUAAGUGUUUUUCCUUUGGGGUUCCAGGUAAUAUUUUAUACAGAUUUUGAAAAAUGUAAUACUAUUGAUGCAGUAUUGCAAUAGGGGUGCAAUUUUAAGGCUAUGACUUAAGGGUUAUCUACUCCAUACGUGCGAGUAUUGUGAAAUGAUUACAUUUAAAUAUGGCUUGUUAGGUGCUUCAGGCUUUCUUGGACUGACCUUAGGAAAGUGAUCCUUUGCUUUUCUUAAUAUCCUGUCAUCGGUUUGAUUUUUUUUCAUACCACGGUUAUAAUUCAUUUUGUUUUAUUUUUGUUCCCCAGAACAAAGAACCCUACAUAAAAUUUUUUUGGAAAUUUCUACAACACCCUUUAAUGUGAUUGCAGAUAUCCAAAUGAAUCAUACUAAGCCAUCACAUUCUAUUUUCUUCCAUUUUUGAAAUCAAAUUGUAUAUAUGUAUACACACAUACACAAAUUGUAGAUAUAUAAAAGGGCAGCUUUGGGGGUCAAAUGGUUUUCAACAUAAAGGGAUUCACACAGCACAGUCAAUUAAACUUAUAUGCCCUUGCCAAGAUGCAUGAUCAAAAAUACCAAGUUUCAAAGCAACAGAAAAAUUUUUAUUGUAAUAACUGAGAUGGAAUCUUGCAUUCAGCUCAGUUCUCUAGACAUGGUUAGGAGCAGCUCAUAAAUAAUCUAUCCUAGCCAAAUUCUCAGGACAAUUUGGGGAAGAGAAAAGAUUUAGAGCAGGGGUCCCACUGACCUAGGAAACCACGGUUAUCUUAAUGUUAGUGUCCAUAGUGUGCCACAUUUGAACUCCUAACCUGCAUAGUUUCUUUCAAGAGUGAGAACUCUAUUUGUUGGACAGAGGCUAUUCCAUUGAGAGGAAUGUUUACAGCAGUUUUGCAAAUGACAAAGCUAGUUUGGAGACAGAAAAAGACAGAAGAUCCACUCCCAUCCAUCUCUGUAUAGUGUAAGCACUUCUGCCUCCCCUCACAGUUACCUCAGAGGCAAGAGGGACAGUCAUCACCAGUGAAUUCGAUAGUGACCUCAACAGCAUUAUCGUUUCACAUUCUCCCAGGGCUCAAAGUACUCUUUUGGUUCCAGGUUCUAGGAUACAGCAAGCUGAACCAUAUGAAGUGAUCUAAUUGGUAGGUUAAAAUGAUUGGUAGGUUAAGUGAAUGUAGAUACUUUCAUAUGGUUCAAACUAGUAAGUUGGCAAAUGAUUGCUUGGUGUAUUAGUGAUAUGUGGCAGCCUGAACACAUUAUCAUGACUUCCAAAGGGCUCUAACCUAAAAUCAGGGAGUAAUUUAUGCUUUGGAGAAUCUGACUCAGAAAUGUACUUGACCAAGCACUAUGAUGGUGAAGGCCAUGAGAGAAGGACAUAAUGGAUGUGAAUUUGACAGAUAAUAUUUUCCUGUUAACAAGCUGGCGGCAAAGCUUCAGAAAAUGUAAAUGCAAGCACAACUUGAAGCUGAAUUAAUUUCUGUAUUAUAUUCUUAACUUGUUAUCUAAAGCAACAGAAAAUGUGUUUUCAGAGAUGAGUCCUUUACUGUGAGGUUAAUAUUUAUUUUUCUCUUUGUAUUAUAUAUAAAAGGUAAAUUAAUCUGAAACCUUACCCAGCUUGCUGGAAAGCUGGUUUUAAAUUGUAAAUACCUACCCCUUAGAAAAACUAAUGGAUUGUCAAUGCCAUAUUCUCUGUAUUCUAGCUUGUGUUAAGGUCAGUACUUUAUUUUAAAUUGAAAAACCUAGUUACCUGGUUAUUACACAUUGUAAAAUUGUUUUCCUAAUACUUUUAUAAGGUUCACCUUCAGAGAAUACUUCAUUUUCUUCCUUUUAUCUUUUCCUUAGUUUGCCAGCAAACACCUUCCCCUGGGAAGCUAAACAUGUUUAGCAAGUCAAAAACCUGAUGUGCAGUUGAGAAAACUAGAUUACUGAAAAAUAAACUUUAAAGAGCUAGCAAAAUCCCAUAUAGUAUUCUUUGCUAUCCCCCAAAUAGGUAAGGGACAAAUUGUAUAUACAAGCUAUAUAGUAUAAAAGGAAAUAGGGACCAUUUUUUGUUAAGUGAAAAUAAAAUGUUACCUGUUGCAUAUAUUUUUAUUUGCUAUAGAAUUAUAAAAUGAAAGCAAGACAUCAACAGGAGUGAUGAGUUCUUAUGUACCUAUCCAAUGACUAUACCUCAUUUACAGUCAGAAAGCUUUCGGGAUGUCAGAUAUGGUACAGGGUGGCUCUUGUUCCACGUCCAAAGGUUUGGUGACAGUGGUGUGCUGAGGGGCACAGCAAGCACAACAGGGAAACUGCAUUUCCAUAAAAGCUAUUCUACUCUUGGCAUGAUUAUUCAUUUUAUAUUAAAAUUCCUUUCAUUACCAAGUCCUCACCCAGCUCAAGUAUGGUAGGAUUUACAUAGGCAGAAAAUUGAGCUUGAAACAAUUUUUUGGACACAUUGCUUGCCUAAAGGACCACAUAGAUCUAAAAAAGUGACACUGUGUCAUCUUCUGAAAUUAUAUGAAAUUGAAUACAAUCAAGGCAACGUGAGUCAAACAAAAUCAUUGUUUCAUUUUUAAGUGCAAAAACAGGUACUGUUGAAAUUAAUGUGCACCUGGUUUUCAUAUGAAGUAGCACUUCUUUCAUCAUCAAGCCAUUCAAUUGUGCCAUGUAGAAGAGGGAGAGGAAAGAAAGGCAGACUGUGUGCUUCAGCUCGGUGUAUGGCCAAAAGCAAUAUGUUUAUAAUAAAAUGUUUGACAUACUAAUUGUUUUAUAUCAUUUUAAGCAUACUGUAGCAACUUGUUUGUUUACUAUAUGUGCUUAGUUUUUAGAAUUAUUUUUACAAUUUCCAACCAAAUGUACUGUACAUUUAUAUAAUUUAUUGUGAGGACCUUCUCAUGGAAACCAUCAAGGAGACAAACUGGGGGCAAAUAUCACAUUAAUCUGUAUUAUCGAUUUCUUAAAGACACUGUGCUAAUGUGAAUUUAAAAUGACCUGAAUAAAUAUAUCUGUUAUCUCAAUACAGAUAGCAGUUUGGUCACCUGAGUUGAUUACAAUGGAGUAACUGAGAAUAUAUUUAUUUAUAAAGCAAACAUUCAUAAUAAUGAGAAGAUUGGAGGGCAGAAACCACUGAAGCAAGAUCAUUCUGAAAUAAAAUGUCAUGUUUUGAAUAGUUUGUCCUAAGGUGUUUAAUAAUGUUAACUUUAUGUAAGGAAAAUUCUCCUGCUCCAAAUAAAGUUACAGUUUAACAAAAAACUGA